GACAUCAUCAGCCUACAACCUUUAUAUACGGUGAUUUCCCUUCCAGCAAUCUGUUCUUCUUUUUCCCUUCUUUUGGUUUCAGAUCUGAGUUUCUUUAUUCUUCGUACCUCAGAUUUGAGGUUUUUGCAUCAAAUCUGAGCUAGCUUUUCUUUCUCAAAUCUGCCUUAAAUUUGAGUCUCUCUAACCUCUUUUUAUCAUUUUAAUUUGCUUAACCCUUGAUCUUUUUGCUUAAACAUUUUUAGCUUAACCCUUUCUUCUCUCUUUAGGUUAAAUGAGGAAGUAGGGUGUUCUGGAGCGUGGAGGAUUCUUCCCUGGAGGAUUCUUCCCCCCUAUUCUCUGUCUUUUAGCCAUCUCUCCUUUUUCAUCCCUUCCACUUUCUAUCCUCUAUUAUGCCGUCUCCUUUCACUGCUUUCCACCUUUCACUGAUGUCCUUUUCAUGGCUUUUGGUCGUCUUCCCUUCUUUCGACUUUCUUCUCCAUUAAGUAGGUUAAUGACUAAGUAUUACAUUUUUAUUUGGGAUAGAGAUCAUGUCGUAGCCUUCUCUUAGGUUAUGGCGACUUGCCUUGAGGGCUUUGAAGAUCUUGUAUCCCGCUAUUCAAGUUAGAUGGGCCUGGCCCAUUGGGCCCUUAGUGAGCUCUAUCGUGGUAUUUCACGUUCCCUGAUUGCUUGAAAUUACAAGUGGUUAGAUAUGAUUACCUUGGGGAAGUUGUUCGAGCUGGCCUCCUCUCCCCUCGUCCUUUGAUCCUCAUCUUUUUCCCUUUAGCUUUUUCACUUGAUUGUUUAUGAUCCCUCUCUCUCAUGUUUCUCUUUUGAUGUUGGUUGUGUCGAUACCACCCUCCUAUAUGCUGCCAUACUCUUCUUGUUAUUCUCUUGAGUGUCGUUUUACUGUAAGUUGCACAUUGUUUUAUACUUAUUCUCUCAUAUACCUAUCCCUAGCAUGAGAGUUCAAGAUUAAUGGAAAUUCAGUUAAGUGUCGAAUUGAGAAUUUUGGGUUGGGGAGUCAAGGUUUUGUGGGGAUGUCUCUAGAAGUGCUUUGUGUGGUUUAAUCGGGGACUUAGGCGGUAGAUGAUGUAGGAACCUUCGAGGUAAGGGUAUAGGUUGUGUUUAAAAAUCUUGGUGGAUCAUCCCUGUAAGUAGGGAGUACUUCUUGUAGUCUUUUAUUUUUUUUUCUCUUCUUUAUCUCUUUGUUUGCCGUUGUAUUUAUGGAGCUCGGCUUCUUUAUACAAUAAAGUUAAUAAUUAAGGUUCAAAGAACAAGAAAAGAAAAAGACGAAUCACUUUUGAUAGAGAGAUUAUUAACUUUUAGAACAAAAAUUAUGAGUGAGAGUGCUGCAAUAUUGUUGAAGAGUUUGGAAGCCCAUAUUGGUGGACACAUGUAUGAUUUGUAAUUUAAAAAUAAAAAGCCUAUCUCACAAAAAAGAGGCCUUUUGAGUCUCCAAAUUACACAAAAAAAGCGGCUUUUUGAGUGGCCAAAGCACCUAAUCACAUGGAAAAAGAUCU
rnacentral:lncRNA from 1 species